rnacentral:snRNA from 1 species
UUCUUAUCAGUUUAAUAUCUGAUACGUCCCCUACCCGGGGACCGUAUAUUAAAUUGAUUUUUGGAGCAGGGAGAUGGAAUAGGGGCUUGCUCCGUCCACUCCACGCAUCGACCCGGUAUUGCAGUAUUUCUGGGAACGGUGCACCCCCU